UGCGGGAGUACGCCAGAAAGCAUUCGACCGGUCGGCAACACUCAGAGAUAUCUGCACACACGCACACACACGUACACACAUAUCCUCUUACAUCCCCACCUGAUUGCGAAAUCGACGGAAAAGAGAGGGAGGGGACUCCAAGUCACAGCAGCCUUGGACCCUGAUACUGCGCAAAGGGAGGAAAGCGCCGCCGUCCCCUACGUGCUCGGCAUCGGCACUGUGCGAAUGAGCAUGCCGCAACCUCCAGCAUACGUUGCAGCCUUGGUGAUGAACGAACUGGUCGAGUACGUCAUGCAAGUGCUACCAAGAUGCUACCGUUUCGCCGCCGCCCGUGUCAACGAGGUUCGCGGCACAGCGCAAGAGAUAUGGCAAGAGCCCCGCAGCAUCCGCAAGACUGUGUGGUGCCUCACGACGCUCAUGCGCCGGUGGGAGGUAUUCACGGUGCCGGGCAUCACCUAUGUACUGCUGUACAUGUGCGCCGUCACGAGUCUCAUUCACCUGUACAUCUUUCACCGAAAUCCCCAUAAUCUACAGCUGCGGACCUACCAGGAGACACAUUUCGACCUCACGUCGAUGGGGUCCUCGCUUGUCUCCCCCGUGCACGACCCGCGCUCCUUGAGUCCGUACGGGCCGCGGUCGGACCGCACGCUGGCGCACUUCUGCGGCCGGCCCACGGCCAGCAGCUACGACGGCUACACCGGCGCGCCGCACGCGGCGUACAUGCACCAUGACGUGGAGCGCGACCGCUACGUGGUGCGCACCUUCGGCCGCGGCGGCAUGCGCGUGGACGAGCGGCGGCGCAGCGGCGUGGGCCGCAGCACCUACGAGGCCUUCUGCGCCGCCCCGCGGAGCGUGCAGCGCGGCACGCCGCUGGCGCCGUCGCCGUGGCUCGACGGCGAGGCCAACUGGCAGCUCGGCGACGCCGCGCCGCGGCACGCCGUCAACGGCGCGUUCAACUUCACUGUGCGUCCUCUCGCCGUGCCGCACGCAGCCGCAGCCGCAGCAGCCACCGGUACCACCUCCAGCCGAAGUGGCAACGCCGACGCGGACUUCACCAAGGCGGAUCAGGGGCUGCGCACGCACUACCGCCGCUACACGCGCGACGAGCUGCUGCAGCGUCACGCACACCUCGACUUCAUCUACUCCUACGUCAAUGGCAGCGACAUCACGCGCAGCUACACGAAGCCGUUUGCGAAGACGUGGGAGUGCGGGAACAUGAUCGCGUCGGUGCAGUUGCUGUGGUUCGAGAUGCAGCGCGCGGCUGACACGGACACCGAGGCGCCGCACAUCGCCGAGGACGCCUUCAGCCGCUACAUCGCCGAGCUGCUGUUCGUGUCGGCGUCGAGCCCGUGCGCCAUGUCGGAGCUGCUAGCGGACGUGGGCGCCGGCAAGGGCGCGAUGAAGCGCGUGGAGGCGUCGCUGUGGUGGGCCGCCACGCACCUGAACGGACCCCGCAGCGUCGAGGACGCACCGCUGCCGCCGCCGGAGAUGACGCUGACGAACAUGGAGCUGCUGCGCGCGCUGGGUGCGGACCUGGAGAGCGUGAAGCCGGACGACAUUGACGCAGACUGCGACGAGCUACGCCACAGCAUGCGCGGGCUGCUGGAACACACGCGCAGCUGGCACCGUGGCCGCAUGGCCGUCGUGGCGCCGUACGGCAACGUGCCGCUGUGGCUGAACCACAGCAAGAACUUCUUCAUGCGCUCCCUCUACGCCGCUGCCACGGCGACCGAAGCGCGCGCUGAGGCGUCGGGUGACGCCGCUGACGGCGACGAUUCGAGGGUGCUCGGCACGGCCGAGGCGCGUUUCGUGAAGGAGGCGCACACCGGCACGCUGCACUACACGCGCAUCCACAUUGUGGACCAGCGCGCGCUGAUGCCGCCCGCGCCGCUGACGACAACAAACAGCUUUUCCAUCGAGCCCUUCGUGUACCGGCUGCGCAACGCGUCCUCCGUCUUCAUCUACAUGAACGACGACUACCUCAUCAUGAAGGACGUCGACAUCACCGACUUCGUAAACGUCUACGGCGGGCCAGUGCUACGAGUUUCACGGCCCGACGACCUACCGAAGGAUGUACUGCAUGCAACUGGUUUUCCGCGCGCAGUCCUGCAAAAUUCGUACAGCCUUCAGAGACAUCUGGACAAGACACCAGCGGACCUGGAGGAGCUUGUGCAGCCGGCUGCUGCUGCUGCUGCCCUGACGUCGGUGGAGGGCGAGGCAGCCGUGGUGCGGCGCGGCGUCGUGCGUGCGUCGUGGGCUGCCUUCGCCGCUGCCGUGGACGCGCGCAGCAGCGUGGCGACGCCGGAAGGUGGUGCGAGGGCCACCAGCACGGCGUGCGCGAGCAACAGCAGCGCUGCUGUGUGUGCGUGGGCGGAGUGCGCGUGGGGCACCGCUGAAGGAGCGCUGGCGCGCGAUACGUGUGCGAUGCCGCGCGUGUCGACGCAGGGCGAGCCGGCGUGGGCCGCGGAUGCAGCGGGCACCUUUGCGCUGGCGCCUCCGCCGUCUACGACGCCGGGCAGCAGCGAGUGGACGUGGGCAGGCCAGGCGCAGAUGCCGGCGCUCGUGCACUGGGGUCGCCGCGUGCUGGACCGCGUGACGGCAGACCUCAUCGCCCCGCGCUACUACCUCGAAACAGCGAAACCUGUGGAAGAAGAACCGAAGCCCGUGCCGCCAGCGGAGGCAGGGGCGAAUGUCGCGCGUGACGUUGCAGCCUUUGCUCAGCUGAUGCGCAGGGUGGAGCUGGAGCGCAAGCUGGCUGCCGGCUCAUCAGGUGCUCGCGUUAGGCUGAUGCGGCACCUCGAAUCCUGGGCGGCGCGCUUCGCUGGACACCCGUUCCCGACGCACCGCGUGUUCAAGACGCAGCCGCGCCUGCGCAAGUACCGCAUGCGGCUCGACAGCCACGCGCCCUACCCACAGUGCCGCAACAUGUGGGGCUACAUCCACAAGCGCUACGCACCGGACCUCAACCUGAACAUGUUCAUGGAGCGCAAACGCACCACGAUGGACCUGCUGCCGCCAUCGACGCACACGGCGCACAUGCUGCGGCAUCCGUGGGCUGCGUCGAGUCAGUACCUGCCGUACCUGAUGGCGAAGCAGGCGUGGCGCAUGCAGCGCGGUGCCGGACUGUCGCCGCUGGACAACGAGACGCCGGUGUUCCCGGUGGUGGACGUGGCGCUGGACAACGAGGACGGCUGCGCACCGGCCACUUUCCGCGGCGAAGAGCUCAAGGAAGCCGCUUAUAAUGAGUUCGAUGAUGACGUGCAGCACAAUGCUCGACGAAUGGCUCGCAUCCGCAGCUAUCGAAAUACAACAUCGUUCACGAACAUCAACUCUAAGUUUAACCUCAAUUUCAUCGGCGAAACGCUCCGCAACUUCCUGGAGGAGCUCUUUCCGACCCCCAUGCUGCUGGAACAACACUGGCGCAGCGCACCGAAGGCGGAGGGCGGCACGGACGAGCUGCGGGUAUCGCGGAGGAUUGAUGGGGAGAGCGGUGCGCGUGACCUGCAGUUUGCGCAUGUGGACGUCAACUUCAAGCGCCUGAUGCACCUGCCGCUGAUCCUUGUGAGCAACGACGAGGAGGGCUUCUGCCCGCUGCUGCGCAGCUUGCGGCACGCGUUGCCGAACUUCCGCGGGCGGCGCGUGGUGCAGGUGCUGGUGCCGCCGGCGGACGGCGUGUCGCUGCGCGCGGCGCGUGCGGACCGGCGACACGCCUACCGCGACUUCCUGCCGGUGGCGCGCUGCAGCCUGCCGGCUGACCGGCUUCGCCGCGUGACGCUGCCGGCGGACAGCGACGUGGCGGACGUGGUGGUGGCGGGGCUGCGGCUGGCGCGCGAGGACGUGGAGGUGGAGCGGUGGGAGGCGCCGGCGCUGGUGGAGCUGCGCGGGCGGCGCGUGGCGCUGCGCGCGGUGCAGGCGCUGGUGAUCGACGCGCGCACGCUGCACACCGGUGCACGCGGCUUCACGGAGCUGCCGCUCGCGCUGGCCGUGCCGGCCGAGCUGCUGGCGCACGAAGACUUCGCGGAGCACCUGCUGGACACCGCCGCGCAGUCGCUGGUGCGGCCGCCCACGGCAGCCGAGGCGGCCACGGUCGCCGCGGUGGUGCCGAUGGAGGAGGAUGGCAGGCGUAAGGAGGCCGCCUCUGCCGAAGACUUCGCUGCGAGCGUGCUGGUGCUAUCGGAGGCAGAUGCGGAGGUGCGUCACACGCACUGGGCCCACGGCGCCUCCGAGCACGACCUGCUGAGCGGGAUGCCGCUGCCGUACGACAAGAUGGAGGACAUGGAGGAGAUGGUGCAGUGGGGCUUCUGAGUGCUGCUGCUGCUGCUGCCAUGCGGGUGAUGUAGCCUCAACACGCCUCCUGUGCAAGCAUGCAUUUUCGCUGGUGAACUGUAAUCUAGGCCUUCGCUUUUUCUUUUUUUUUGUGUGUGUUGCUGCUCUGCUUGAGUGCGCGGUGCCGCAGGGAGCUGAACCCAUUGGGGAGCGCAGGUGAGACGAGAACGUGAUACGUGCUGUGGGCCACGGCGCGCUUACCGUGUCUGUGCUGCUGCUCUCCUCGUCCUCCAGUGCACCGCUGAGGCGCUCUGGUGGCCCUUUCUUCUUGUAGAGACGUGGGUCUGCCAGCGGGCCAUCGGAGGGAAAGGGGAGCGGUUCUGGCCCGCCACGGCGGCACGAGCAUUCUCGUUCAGAGGCCGACAGGCUGGGGUGAUGCACACUUAUUCCGUGAUGCGGUCGGUCGGGGACGGUGAGGCGCGCAGGCUGUGUCGUUAUACACACUCUUAAUCUCACCUGCAUAGCCUUCGCUCUUUCUUCAUGUGCCUGCGUGGGUGUGUGUUUAUAUAGAAAGAUGCGCAGCUCUUCGCUGAGGCGAUGGGCGUACGCCGCCAAGGGGUGCAGGAAUAGCCGAGGUGUGUCUGAGGGGGAAGGUGGGCUAAACGGAGUGUUGGUCUUCGGAGUGACCCACGGAGAGUCCAGCGGAUAAGCGGAUCUCUGAAGUCAGGCUGCUUGGUGACUGCCCUCUAGAGACUCCUCGAUCUCCGCUUCUCUGCGCUCUCUCGCUGGGAUGCGCUGGUGUGUGUGCUGAUGCCUCGUGUGCUCCUCGCGCUCUUUGCUAUCCUCCCUUCUCUUGCGCUGGCAGAGCCACAGACCCCUUCCCCUACUAACAUGGAGGUGAGGCACAUCGACGUGGCGUACCCUGAAGACGUGGUGGGGGUGGAGGGGCCACUCCAAAAGACUCGUGUGGAGGUGGCCUGCUCGAGGAGCUUUUCCCUGAGGGGCGGCACCAUCGCCAACAAGGCGCGGGCGCACGGAACCGCCAGCAGAACGGCACGCUACCGGUGGGGGUACUGUACCUCUCGCGCCGCAGUUUGGAGGGGGCGGUGAUCUACAUGCAGGCAAGACCUCCCACCUGGAAUUCGACACGCUCUCUCGUCGCUGCCUCCCGCAGCACGCGAUGCUUCGCUGCGAUGCAAUAUGCCGUGUUCGGCGGCGCUAACGGGCUCGUGCUCUCCGUCAGUAGGCCAGCAGGUCGUGGGCGCGCUGUACCUUCCACAUGCUCUGCGGCCGCAUCGGAUCGCGGGAAUCUUGGAGAAGGCGUCGGACAGCAUGCCCGUUGUCUUGACCGCGUGCGAUUCUGCACCCUCAGCCAGCGUACCGUAGGCGCCACGUCGCAAGCUCCGCGCGGUGGGGUCGGGCUUAUCAGUCUCUCACAGCGCAUGCGCACGACAGCAGUGACCCAGCGAGGAUUCUGGCCUGCACAUGACCGUCCACUGCACAUCACCUGUCUGUACGGAUAGCAGAUGGAUCCACACUGGCCGCCCGCCUCCAGCCUUGGCCUACACGAGGCAUUCGCUUCACGGCAGAAUACCCUCCCCCUCCCCCAGUUGGGGCAAAAGUCACCCUGGUGACGGACCAUCGCCACCCCUCCCCAUCCUGCAUGCGCAGAAAGCAGCUGAAUGGGUUUUAGCGGCAGUGGAUGUGGGCGCGGCGCUGAGCACGUUGUGUUCCUCUACACAGCCGGCUCACUGAACCCUGCCGGCACGCAACUCGCGUACCUUUGAGGAGUGCAACUCCGCGCCGGGCUCGUCUCUCGCCCGCUCGCAUGUGAAGGACGUGGCGUUGCCACUUGCGAGCGGCACCCUUACCCCGCUGUGCGAGGGCCGGAGGGAGGUCAAAGAACGGCUGUCGGAGGAGCAAAAUCUGUUGCAGGAUUACGAUGAGGUGAUCCGUGUUUCGUCACAGCGAGUCCUCUCACGAAGGGCAGCGGUGGCUUCAGGAAGCACCGGCGAAGUAUGCGCCGGCACCGCCGAAGCAAAUCCCGGGCGAUAGCCCCUCCCCUGCUUGCCCCGCUUAGCAUAACAAAGAAU
rnacentral:misc_RNA from 1 species